rnacentral:rRNA from 1 species
GAUGAACGCUGGCGGCGUGCCUAAUACAUGCAAGUCGAGCGAACAGACGAGGAGCUUGCUCCUCUGACGUUAGCGGCGGACGGGUGAGUAACACGUGGAUAACCUACCUAUAAGACUGGGAUAAUUUCGGGACACCGGAGCUAAUACCGGAUAAUAUAUUGAACCGCAUGGUUCAAUAGUGAAAGACGGUUUUGCUGUCACUUAUAGAUGGAUCCGCGCCGCAUUAGCUAGUUGGUAAGGUAACGGCUUACCAAGGCAACGAUGCGUAGCCGACCUGAGAGGGUGAUCGGCCACACUGGAACUGAGACACGGUCCAGACUCCUGCGGGAGGCAGCAGUAGGGAAUCUUCCGCAAUGGGCGAAAGCCUGACGGAGCAACGCCGCGUGAGUGGUGAAGGUCUUCGGAUCGUAAAGCUCUGUUAUUAGUGAAGAACAAAUGUGUAAGUAACUAUGCACGGCUUGACGGUACCUAAUCAGAAAGCCACGGCUAACUACGUG